GACGAACGCUGGCGGUGUGCUUAACACAUGCAAGUCGAACGGAAAGACCCUGUUUUCUUGCUGUGCUCGAGUGGCGAACGGGUGCGUAACACGUGAGUAACCUGCCCUGGACUUUGGGAUAACUUCAGGUAACUGGGCCUAAUCCCGUAUAGGAGCCCCUGCUGCAGGGUGGGGGUUGGAAAGUUUCGGCGGGUGGGGAUGGACUCGCGGCUUAUCAGCUUGUUGGUGGGGUAGUGGCUUACCAAGGCUUUGGCGGGUAGCCGGCCUGAGAGGGUGACCGGCCACAUUGGGACUGAGAUACGGCCCAGACUCCUACGGGAGGCAGCAGUGGGGAAUAUUGCACAAUGGGCGGAAGCCUGAUGCAGCAACGCCGCGUGCGGGAUGACGGCCUUCGGGUUGUAAACCGCUUUCGCCUGUGACGAAGCGUGAGUGACGGUAAUGGGUAAAGAAGCACCGGCUAACUACGUG
rnacentral:rRNA from 1 species